UACGGAGGGUGCAAGCGUUGUCCGGAAUCACUGGGCGUAAAGCGCGCGCAGGCGGCCCGCGAGGUGUCACGUGAAAGCCCCGGGCUCAACCCGGGAGGGUCGUGGCAAACCGGCGGGCUUGAGGCCGGUAGAGGUGGGUGGAACUCCUGGUGGAGUGGUGAAAUGCGUAGAGAUCAGGAAGAACACCCGUGGCGAAGGCGGCCCACUGGGUCGGUACUGACGCUGAGGCGCGAAAGCUAGGGGAGCAAACGGG
rnacentral:rRNA from 1 species